CGGGUGCACUGAUCCAGCCGGGCCUUUCCCUCUGUGGAACCCCAUGGCCUUCACUGGCUGUGGUGGGGAAACAGGACUUUUACUUUGAAAAAAUUAGAGUGCUCCAGGCAGGCCUAUGCUCGAAUACAUUAGCAUGGAAUAAUAGAAUAGGACGUGUGGUUCUAUUUUGUUGGUUUCUAGGACCGCCGUAAUGAUUAAUAGGGACAGUCGGGGGCAUCAGUAUUCAAUUGUCAGAGGUGAAAUUCUUGGAUCUAUUGAAGACUAACUACUGCGAAAGCAUUUGCCAAGGAUGUUUUCAUUGAUAAGGAACGAAAGUUAGGGGAUCGAAGACGAUCAGAUACCGUCGUAGUCUUAACUAUAAACUAUGCCGACUAGGGAUCGGACGAUGUUAUUCUUUGACGCGUUCGGCACCCUUCGAGAAAUCAAAGUGCUUGGGCUCCAGGGGGAGUAUGGUCGCAAGGCUGAAACUUAAAGAAAUUGACGGAAGGGCACCACCAGGGGUGGAACCUGCGGCUUAAUUUGACUCAACACGGGGAAACUCACCAGGUCCAGACACAGUGAGGAUUGACAGAUUGAGAGCUCUUUCUUGAUUCUGUGGGUGGUGGUGCAUGGCCGUUCUUAGUUGGUGGAGUGAUUUGUCUGCUUAAUUGCGAUAACGAACGAGACCUUAACCUGCUAAAUAGCCCGUACUGCUUUGGCAGUUCGCCGGCUUCUUAGAGGGACUAUCGG
rnacentral:rRNA from 1 species